AUUGAACGCUGGCGGCAUGCCUUACACAUGCAAGUCGAACGGCAGCACGGGAGCAAUCCUGGUGGCGAGUGGCGAACGGGUGAGUAAUAUAUCGGAACGUGCCCAGUCGUGGGGGAUAACGUAGCGAAAGCUACGCUAAUACCGCAUACGAUCUACGGAUGAAAGCGGGGGAUCGCAAGACCUCGCGCGAUUGGAGCGGCCGAUAUCAGAUUAGCUAGUUGGUGGGGUAAAAGCUCACCAAGGCGACGAUCUGUAGCUGGUCUGAGAGGACGACCAGCCACACUGGAACUGAGACACGGUCCAGACUCCUACGGGAGGCAGCAGUGGGGAAUUUUGGACAAUGGGCGCAAGCCUGAUCCAGCAAUGCCGCGUGCAGGAUGAAGGCCUUCGGUUGUAACUGCUUUGUACGGUAACGAAACGGUAGAGCUCUAAUAAAGACUUGCUAAUGACGGUACCGUAAGAAUAAGACACCGGCUAACUACGUGCC
rnacentral:rRNA from 1 species